rnacentral:lncRNA from 1 species
GUGCGUGAUGUCACGGACUUAAGCUUUUAGCUUGCAAAGUCCGUGUAAUGCCUGCCUUCCUGUUCGAAGAUGAGCAAGUCUGUCUUCAUCUUACUAGUCCGAACCUCCACGUCUUCAAAAGCUAUGGUGUGUUUGUUUGGGUGAAAGUGAGGGAGAAGUGGAGAGGGGGGAAGAUGUUUACGCCGUAAACUAUCACUUUCGUUGUUUGUUUUGCCGUAAUUUUAUUACGGCCGAAAGUCGAGUUCAUCCAAAAUAGGAUAAUUGACUUCGCUCUCCCACGGGGAGAAGUCAAUUCCGGUGAAGUGCAAAAAGGCAAAGGAGCAUGUUAAAUUUGGUUAGGUAAUGUGAUCAAAUUUGGUUAGGUAAAUUUUACUAUAUUUUUUUGUCCAAUUUGUAUAUUUAGAAAAUGAUAAAAAAUAAAUUUGUUAAAUGUUAAUAAUUUUUUAACUUUAGAAUUUUAUUUGUUACAUUAUUAUAAUUUAUAUGCAAACAAAUAAUAUAAUUUUUUAAAAUUUUAUUUUAUAAUUAUACAUAUAUAUAAUUAUAUACAUAUAUAAUUAUAAUAAUUUUUAUUUAUUAUAAUUUAUUAUUCACUAAAUUACAAAAUAGACAAUAAUAUCACUUCGGAGGUAAGUAUACCAGGGGUGGAGAGCUACACAUUUUACGUCAUCUACUUUUUAUCAAACAAACAACAGAACUCACAGAACUACAUUUCCACAGUUAGAAACAAACAACAGAAGUGAAUUAAUUUUGAUCUAAACUCCACUUCAACCCAAAGUCCAUUUCCACCCCAAGUCUAUCUGCGUUGAAACAAACAUAGCCUAUAAGAGCAAG